rnacentral:rRNA from 1 species
GACGAACGCUGGCGGCGUGCUUAACACAUGCAAGUUGAACGGGGCAUAUUUGAAGGGUAACCGGAGGGUAUGUCUAGUGGCGAACGGGCGAGUAAUGCAUGAGAACGUAUCCUCAAGAGGGGGACAACAUUGGGAAACCGAUGCUAAUACCCCAUAAGCCGGGAGGUAAAAGGAGCAAUCCGCUUGAGGAGCGGUUCAUGUCCUAUCAGCUAGUUGGUGAGGUAACGGCUCACCAAGGCGAAGACGGGUAGCCGGCCUGAGAGGGUGAACGGCCACACUGGAACUGAGAGACGGUCCAGACUCCUACGGGAGGCAGCAGUGGGGAAUAUUGGGCAAUGGGGGAAACCCUGACCCAGCGACGCCGCGUGAGGGAAGAAGGCCUUAGGGUCGUAAACCUCUGUUGUGUGGGAAGAAGAGCGUGACGGUACCACACGAGGAAGUCCCGGCUAACUACGUGCCAGCCGCCGCGGUAA